GACGAACGCUGGCGGCGUGCCUAAUACAUGCAAGUCGAGCGAAUCAAUGGGAGCUUGCUCCCUGAGAUUAGCGGCGGACGGGUGAGUAACACGUGGGUAACCUGCCUGUAAGACUGGGAUAACUUCGGGAAACCGGAGCUAAUACCGGAUACGUUCUUUUCUCGCAUGAGAAGAGAUGGAAAGAUGGUUUCGGCUAUCACUUACAGAUGGACCCGCGGCGCAUUAGCUAGUUGGUGAGGUAACGGCUCACCAAGGCGACGAUGCGUAGCCGACCUGAGAGGGUGAUCGGCCACACUGGGACUGAGACACGGCCCAGACUCCUACGGGAGGCAGCAGUAGGGAAUCUUCCGCAAUGGACGAAAGUCUGACGGAGCAACGCCGCGUGAGCGAAGAAGGCCUUCGGGUCGUAAAGCUCUGUUGUUAGGGAAGAACAAGUACAAGAGUAACUGCUUGUACCUUGACGGUACCUAACCAGAAAGCCACGGCUAACUACGUGCCAGCAGCCGCCGUAA
rnacentral:rRNA from 1 species